AUGUUCUCAGUAAUAGGUGGCACCUAUGAGCAGACUAUCGAGCCAAACCAACAUGAAGUGCAUGGAGAGGAGGGUUACAAUGUUCAACUUUCCUGCAACUACUCCUCAGCAUACCGUGUACUGUGUAUCCUCAGCAUACCAUGUACACAGUAUCCAGAAUCAGCUCCCCAAUUCCUCCUCUUCAUCCUGCACUCCACUGGGACUGGACAGAGAGCUGAUUCUCUUGACUCUCACUUCUCUGGUAAACUGAACAAAGAGAAGACCCGUGUGGAUCUGGAGAAUUCCUCUGCUGAAGUGACAGACUCUGCUCUGUACUACUGUGCUCUAUGUAUGAGCGGCAUAGGCUAA